UACGGAAGGCAGCAGUGGGGAAUAUUGCACAAUGGGCGCAAGCCUGAUGCAGCCAUGCCGCGUGUAUGAAGAAGGCCUUCGGGUUGUAAAGUACUUUCAGCGGGGAGGAAGGCGGUGGAGUUAAUAGCUUCACCGAUUGACGUUACCCGCAGAAGAAGCACCGGCUAACUCCGUGCCAGCAGCCGCGGUAAUACGGAGGGUGCAAGCGUUAAUCGGAAUUACUGGGCGUAAAGCGCACGCAGGCGGUCUGUCAAGUCGGAUGUGAAAUCCCCGGGCUUAACCUGGGAACUGCAUUCGAAACUGGCAGGCUAGAGUCUUGUAGAGGGGGUAGAAGUUCCAGGUGUAGCGGUGAAAUGCGUAGAGAUCUGGAGGAAUACCGGUGGCGAAGGCGGCCCCUGGGACAAGACUGACGCUCAGGUGCGAAAGCGUGGGGAGCGAAACAGGAUUAGGAUACC
rnacentral:rRNA from 1 species